rnacentral:rRNA from 1 species
GAUGAACGCUAGCGGCAGGCUUAACACAUGCAAGUCGAGGGGUAUAGUUCUUCGGAACUAGAGACCGGCGCACGGGUGCGUAACGCGUAUGCAAUCUACCUUUUACAGGGGAAUAGCCCAGAGAAAUUUGGAUUAAUGCCCCAUAGUAUAGUUUAUUCGCAUGAGUAGAUUAUUAAAGUUCCAACGGUAAAAGAUGAGCAUGCGUCCCAUUAGCUAGAUGGUAAGGUAACGGCUUACCAUGGCGACGAUGGGUAGGGGUCCUGAUAGGGAGAUCCCCCACCCUGGUACUGAGACACGGACCAGGCUCCUACAGGAGGCAGCAGUGAGGAAUAUUGGUCAAUGGACGCAAGUCUGAACCAGCCAUGCCGCGUGCAGGAUGACGGUCCUAUGGAUUGUAAACUGCUUUUGUACGAGAAGAAACACUGCUACGUGUAGCAGCUUGACGGUAUCGUAAGAAUAAGGAUCGGCUAACUCCGUGCCAGCCGCCGCAGUAA